rnacentral:rRNA from 1 species
GUUCUACCUUGACGAAUUGUAGUUUAAAGAAGUGUUCUCUGUUAGAGGAGUAGCAAAAGUUCCUUGGAAUGGGACAUCAUAGAGGGUGAGAAUCCCGUAUUUGGUUAUUCUUUCUAGCUUUGUGAUACACUUUCAAAGAGUCGGAUUGUUUGGGAAUGCAGUCCAAAAUGGGUGGUAAAUUUCAUCUAAAGCUAAAUAUUGGCGAGAGACCGAUAGCGAACAAGUACCGUGAGGGAAAGAUGAAAAGAACUUUGAAAAGAGAGUUAAACAGUACGUGAAAUUGUCAAAAGGGAAGCGUUUGACACCAGUGUUGUUUUUCCGAAAAUCAAUUAAGAAGGACUUGAUUUUGUGUUGUAUUGACCUUAUCAGCUUUCUUCACUCUUUUUCGAGUCUUUCUU